rnacentral:siRNA from 1 species
UGCAUGUUGGUUCUACUC